GAAAAUAUAUCGUCUUUCCUGACUCCGAGUGGCAGCAGAGAGAGCUGAGCAUGUGAUAUCAAGCUGCGCAUGGAAAGCAAACAAAACGCCAUUUCUGUAUUUUGUAAGCAUCUCAGGUCAUAAAAGUGUCAGCACACUAUAUUUCUUGCUGGGAUCCUCUCUGUUUUAUUAUCUGAGCCCUUUCUAUUGUGUUGAAUGUGCAAGGAGAGUCUCCAAAGCAGGCAACAUCUGUUUCCCUGUCAUGUUUUUGAUUAUCAGCUCCAUAUUCCUUGCAAGUCUCCUGCUCACAUAUUCCCAUCAAACUCAAUGGGGGCUUCAACAGCAAGGACACUUCCUUAUCUCCCUUCCCCCAGACUCUCCAUCCAUCAUUCUCGCAUGCUGGCCCACUAAAUGCUGAUGCAAGAGGCCUGUUCUUUACACUUGGGUAGCACACUCAUGACCUCUCCAAUUUGUUUUGUUUGUUUAAGUCUAAUCGCUGUGGGUAUACCUGCCUCUCAGUCCUUAACAGGGGAGAAGGGACAGGAAGGAUGUAGGUGGGACAUCUCACUGGGUUUUAUUUUGGUACCCGUGGAGAACAGUUUUCUAAUGUAGUCUUAGAUUUGUUUCCCAGUUUUCUUCCCUGAAGAGGAAGUUUCUUCCCCUCUUUCUUAGCUCCCAAUUGCUAAAUCAAUUUCUCUGUGCUUUGCCAAGAGAUCUGUUUUAACAGUUAUGCAGGUAUUUCAAUCUGCAGAUGGGGAUUCUGCCAAUGAGAAUCAAUUAAAACAAUUGUCUUCUGCCUAUGGAUGGAAUUGCAGUUCCAGGAUAUUCGGCACCCUGAGAUCUGGGAAAGCAGAGGGUCUCUUCCUGGAUGCAUCCCUGUGAUUAAUCUGUAUUUAGACUUCUCAGCAAGAGUCCAGAUUUUUACAGCUGCUAAUCACCCACAGUUGUCAUUAACUUCAAUGAUGAUGAGGGGGCAGAGGAAGCGAUUGCUGCGCCUUCAGAAGAUAACUGCAAAAUCCUUCACCGAAGUGUUGCAAAGUCCCGAGCUGACCCCACCACUGGUGGAUGUGUCAGGGAGAUAGAUGUCAGCUUGAGCCAUGGCAAUUUGCCAUCUGUGGAAAGCAAACAAAUAUCAACGACCAGAGUAAUGAUCAUCGUGAUUGUAGCAGGAAUUUGAGCACAGAUUUACAUGGGAUCUCUGUGUUUGGGCUCACAAGCCUUUGAUUCUGUUGCUAUUAAAAGUAAG
rnacentral:lncRNA from 1 species